GAGGGAGGGUGACAGGGGCUGCUCCUGGGGACCCAUGGUCGGGAAGAAACAUCUCCCCAAGGGGGCCACUGUCAGCAGAGGCUGACUGAACAGAAGGAAGGAGGGUGCUGCCUGCCCAGGGGGCAGCAAGAACAAAGGCCCCGGGGAAAAAAGAAUAAAAAUGUUCCAAGGUCAACCAAAAAGUCUGACGGUACCAAAUGUUGGUGAGGAGGUGGAGCAACUAAGAUCCUCAGUCACCACCGCUAGGAGGAUACACAGAUUUGACCACCUUGGGAGGCUGUGUGGCAGCGCCCACU
rnacentral:lncRNA from 10 species